rnacentral:rRNA from 1 species
GCCCAAAACCAAGCCUAAUCUUACCUGCAUACACCCUAUACCCACCCACACAAUGAAUUGAUAAAACAUUUUAACUAUUUAGUAGAGGUGAUCAAAAAAUAAAUUAGAGCCUCAUAAGAAGUACCGCAAGGGAAUGGUGAAAUAAAUAUGAAAUAGCUUUAAAGCGUACUAUAGCAGAGUAAUCCCCUCGUACCUUUUGCAUCAUGGUUUAGCCAGUCUUUAUCAAGCAAAGCGAGACACAAGUUUGAUCCCCCGAAACUGGGCGAGCUACUUCGAAACAGCUUUUAGAGCCAACCCGUCUCUGUUGCAAAAGAGUGGGAUGAUUUCCAAGUAGUGGUGAUAAGCCUAUCGAGCCCAGAGAUAGCUGGUUAUUCAGAAAAAGAAUAUUAGUUCUACCUUAAGCUUAAUAAUUAUAAAAAAAUAACUGUAAACUUAAGAGUUAUUCAAAUAAGGCACAGCUUGUUUGAAAAAGGACACAACCUAGAAUAAUGGGUAAGUAACCCCUAUACGACGCUAAGUGGGCCUGAAAGCAGCCACCUUUAAAAAAGCGUUAAAGCUUAGUUCUUCUUCCAAUUUAUAAUUCCUUCAUUAUAUACGAACCCUCAACCAAAACUGAAUAAUCCUAUAAUUAUAUAGGAGAUAUAAUGCUAAAACUAGUAACAAGAAGAAGACCUUCUCCAAAAUGCAAGCAAAACCCAACUUAGACUAACUAUUGGCUAUUAACGCCUAUGACCUUAAUAUAGUAACUGACCCUAGCAAACCCUAUACACUACGACGUUAACCUUACACAAGAGCAUUCCUGGAAAGAUUAAAAGAAAAAGAAGGAACUCGGCAAAUUCAGGCCUCGCCUGUUUACCAAAAACAUCGCCUCUUGUUUUUUCAUAAGAGGUCCAGCCUGCCCAGUGACACAAUUAAACGGCCGCGGUACCCUGACCGUGCGAAGGUAGCAUAAUAACUUGUUCUUUAAAUGGGGACUAGCAUGAACGGCACCACGAAGGCCUCACUGUCUCCUUUUUCCAAUCAGUGAAACUGAUCUCCCCGUGAAGAAGCGGGGAUGAUAAUAUAAGACGAGAAGACCCCAUGGAGCUUUAAACCCAAUAAGCAACCCUAAUCAACACAACUCAUCUAAAUUCUUUCUCCCCCUGCUUUUUGGUUUUAGGUUGGGGUGACCACGGAGUAAAACAUAUCCUCCACGACGUACGGGAUUAACCCUUAUCCAAGAGCCACCGCUCUAAGAAUCGACAAAUUGACGUUUUUUGAUCCAAUAUAUUGAUCAACGAACCAAGUUACCCUGGGGAUAACAGCGCAAUCCAUUUUUAGAGCCCCUAUCGACGAAUGGGUUUACGACCUCGAUGUUGGAUCAGGGUACCCAAGUGGUGCA